rfam:Triticum aestivum genome assembly, contig: Triticum_aestivum_CS42_TGACv1_scaffold_471751_6AL
AAUCUACUCUUUUCGUCCCAAAAUUCUUAUUUUAGAUUUAUCUAAAUACGGAUGUAUCAAGUCACGUUUUAGUAUUAGGUACAUCUAUAUCUAGACAAAUCUAAGACAAGAAUUUUGGAACGGAAGGAGUAUUAU